CCUACGGGAGGCUGCAGUGGGGAAUAUUGCACAAUGGGCGCAAGCCUGAUGCAGCCAUGCCGCGUGUGUGAAGAAGGCCUUCGGGUUGUAAAGCACUUUCAGCGGGGAGGAAGGCGUUAAGGUUAAUAACCUUGGCGAUUGACGUUACCCGCAGAAGAAGCACCGGCUAACUCCGUGCCGGCAGCCGCGGUAAUACGGAGGGUGCAAGCGUUAAUCGGAAUUACUGGGCGUAAAGCGCACGCAGGCGGUCUGUCAAGUCGGAUGUGAAAUCCCCGGGCUCAACCUGGGAACUGCAUUCGAAACUGGCAGGCUAGAGUCUUGUAGAGGGGGGUAGAAUUCCAGGUGUAGCGGUGAAAUGCGUAGAGAUCUGGAGGAAUACCGGUGGCGAAGGCGGCCCCCUGGACAAAGACUGACGCCCAGGUGCGAAAGCGUGGGGAGCAAACAGGAUUAGAUACCCGGGUAGUC
rnacentral:rRNA from 1 species